rnacentral:tRNA from 1 species
GGCGGCGUAGCUCAGCUGGUUAGAGCGAGGGAAUCAUAACCCCUAGGUCAGAGGUUCAACUCCUCUCGCCGCUA